UAUAUACAAAUAUGAUGUCAGUUUUUGGA
rnacentral:piRNA from 1 species